AUUGAACGCUGGCGGCAGGCCUAACACAUGCAAGUCGAGCGAGCGGCGGACGGGUGAGUAAUGUCUGGGAAACUGCCUGAUGGAGGGGGAUAACUACUGGAAACGGUAGCUAAUACCGCAUACCAUCAGAUGUGCCCCGAUGGGAUUAGGUAGUAGGUGGGGUAAUGGCUCACCUAGGCGACGAUCCCUAGCUGGUCUGAGAGGAUGACCAGCCACACUGGAACUGGGCCACGGUCAAGACUCCUACGGGAGGCAGCAGUGGGGAAUUGUGGACAAGGGGGGCAAGCCGUAUGCAGCCAUGCCGCGGGUGUGGAGAAGGCCUGCGGUUUGUAAAGCACUUUCAGCGGGGAGGCGGUACCCGCAGAAGAAGCACCGGCUAACUCCGUGCCAGCAGCCGCGGUAAUAC
rnacentral:rRNA from 1 species